AACUUACACAUAUUUUUGUAUUUGUUCUUUUGAGAUGGAAAACUGACAGGCCUGUUCAGUGGAUGUUUUACCCUCCAGGUCUCCGCGGCAGUCACAUGACCGAAAACUAUGACUAGUCAUGUUGGAGCAACAGUUUGAAGAGAGAAUCUCGAUAUUUGAAGGAAACUAUCAAACUGAAGUUUGCAAAAUGGCACAGCAACAUCAGGACUGAACACUUGAAAUGCAUUGGAAAUGAAAGGAAGAAAAGGAUACAAAAUAGGUUUUCGGAGGGAGUUGGUGAGUCCUUUCCCAAAGGUUGGUUUUGCUGAUGGUGUCAGGCCAUCAGAUCUGGAGAAAUCUUCUGAGACAGCUGUUGAUGAAGGUUUGGACCUUCCUGAUGGCCAUCUUGAGAUGUAUGUAGGCCGUUCUUGCUUUGCCAAUCCUUGCCUUGACAUCUGCGUCUGUGCCGCCCUGUUGGUCAAUGAUGCUGCCCAGACCCAAAGGAAAAGGACAGUGAUUCCCAAACCACAGAGAAAUGUUUCCCGAAUGACUGUUGAUGAAUAUCAAGCCACAACCUUGACAGAGACUCAGAAGAAGCUGAAAUAAAUGGAGGAAAAUGAAAAAUUGAGAAAUGACAACAAAAAAAGCUACCAAAUCUGUUAAAUGAAGUGAAGAUGGCCCUUGAAGUCUCAGUGUUUGUCAACGUCGCCAGUCAGCUCUGACUUGGAAGGCGGACUGGGUUUGACACAAAGUAAUUACAGAGCCCUCCCUGCCGAUGUUUUGCCUUUUAUUUAUUUGUCUCACAGGAGCAACGUUGCAAAAAGUGUCCUCAUGUGGUGCCCUCCAGCAUUGGUGCAGCCAUCAAUGCCAAACUUACUGAAAUUACCGGGAAGAAGAAAACAAAAACAUCCGAAAACCUUAAUGCUCUUUGAUGAUUGAUAGCCAUGACAGUGUGUUCAAGGUAUUUUGUUGUUGUUGCUGUUUUGUGUGUAUGUGUGCAUUUUGUCAUUCAGUUUGAUAUCAAGUUGAAAUUCUAAAUUACUCUUGUGAAGUAUAAUUUAAUUGUGUGUCACUUUGAUUGUGUUGAAAUAAAAGUAUUUCUGUUGCAAAUUUGUGCAAGUCAUUGACCGCGGCUCCAGCCCUUGAACCCGUCCCCCAUCCAAGAUGGCUGCCAUUCCAGUGUCUCGUCCUGAGAUGGCCGUCGUUCCAGAAUCUCUUACCGUCAUGGCCGCCGUUCCAGAAUCUCUUACCGUCACGGCCGCCAUUCCCAUGUCUCUUUCCGUCAUGGUCACUGGUCCAGAGUCUCGUCCUGUCAUGGCCGCCAUCCCCGAGUCUCAUCCCGUCAUGGCCGCCGUUCCAGAGUCUUGUCCCGUCAUGGCUGCCGAAUCUGAGCCCUCAGCCAAAAUGGCCGCUGCGCCUGAGCCCUCAACGAAGAUGGCCGCCGCACCUGAACCUUCAGCCGAAAUGCCCACCACAUCUGGGCCCUCAGCCAAAACGGCCGCCACCACGCCUAUAACUCUAACUUCCUUCCUCGUCCGGGAUCCAGAAAUGACCUCCUUCCUCGUCCAGAGAUGACUCCCUUCCUCAUCGAGAGCCCAGAGAUGGCUCCAGCCCGAGUCUGCUCCAGUGUCAGCUCCAGCCCCUGAGCCUGCUCCAGUGUUGGCUCCAGCCCCUGAGCCCACUCCAGUGUCACUCCAGCCCCUGAGCCCGCUCCGGUGUCGGCUCCAGCCCCUAAUAGGCCUAUAAACUCUAAAAAUGUUGGGUUAAAAACAACCCAAGUUAGGUUAAAUACAUUAAAGGUCUGUGUAGCAUGACUCAAAUGAGAAGUGCUCUUUCUUUCCGCAUCUGGCGCGCUCUGUAGUACGACGUAUAACAAGUUAUAAUCGCACUUGUAUGAAAAAAGUACAAAUAUAAAGUUCAAAUUUAGCUGUGAUUAUGAAAGAUUAUCACGAAGACCAUAAAACAUCUGAAUGUCAUUUGCUGACACCUAGGCUUAGGCUACCUAGUUUAUUGGAAUACAUUUCACAAGACAAUAUUAUUACCAGAAUAAGGUACAUCUCUAAACAGUUUCGCUAGUAUAAUGUUAUAAUUAUUUUAUUGCUAGCGCGCUAACUGGGAUAGCUAGGAUUCAUUUCCAAUUGAUUUCACUUUCCGGAGAAUGUUAAAACUGACUAAAGAGAAUUUCUUACUCGAAACUUCAUUUUGAAAAUAUAAAAUUCAGUUUUAGAAUAUAUGUAAUGUUUCAGUAUACAUUAUCUAAUGUUAUAAAAGUUAUAUACAUGAAAGACGAUAGGACUUACCUUUUAUAAUAAGACUGCAGCAGCUUCUUUCUGUUGACAGUCACUGGACUAUUAAAAUUUGAACCGUCGUUGCGGGAACUGUAUUUAAAGGGUUAGUUCACCCAAAAAUGAAAAUUCUGUCAUUAAUUACUCACCCUCAUGUCGUUCCACCCCCGUAAGAC